rnacentral:lncRNA from 1 species
GGGGAGUGGCUGUAGAAACAGAUGAAGCUCCUACGGCUUACCCCCUGCCUUGCGGCCUGGUUCCUAGGUGCCUGUCCGUGGCCUGGGGGUUGGGGACCUUUGUUUUAGUGCAUAUAUUCUUUUCUUUCCAUAGGAGCAAAUUUAAUAUGCUCAGGUUUUAUCUUAUGCCAGCAUGACUUUUUCUUUGGCUUUGAAUCUCCAAUCUGUCUUAGAAACCAAAGAGUAGAUGGAAUCAUUUUUCUUCCAGCUUUGAACAUCAGCAUUCUCCUUAUGGAUCCCCCAGUUCGUUUCUUUUUCUUUUUUUUUUAAUUUUUUUUGAGACAGAGUCUCUCUCUGUAGCCCAGGCUGGGGUGCAGUGGCACGAUCUUGGCUCACUGCAACCUCCACCUCCCAGGUUCAAAUGAUUUUCAUGCCUCAGUCUCCUGAGUAGCUGGGACUACAGGCGUGUGCCACCACACCCAGCUAAUUUUUGUAUUUUUAGUAGAGACAGGGUUUCAUCAUAUUGGCCAGGCUAGUCUUGAACUCUGACCUCAAGCGAUCCGCCAGCCUCCACCUCCCAAAGUGCUGGGAUUUCCAGCGUGAGCCACUGUGUGCAGCCCCAAUUAGUUUCUGUUAUCCUUUUUAUUAAAUUUUGAUCUUUGAAAACGUUUAAUACAUAGCAGCUUGAAGGAUCUACUCCUGAAUAUUUCAUAUUGCAAGUGGUAUCUUGUGUUCUACCCAACCCUGGUUUUUUUGUGGAUUGCUUAGUCCUCCAAUUUUUCUUAGAUCUGAUUUAAUAAUGCUUGUGGUUCCCAGAAAUCUACUGAACCCCGGUCAAACCUUAAACAAGAAACUUUAACCAUGACCACUUAAAAUACAGUAUAUAGAGAAAAAUCCUACUCUGCAAACCAAAUCUCAUCUUAAAAAUUUGUUAUGGAAAAUUUCAAACAAAUGUUAAAAAACCAUACAUAAUGAAGCCCAGUGAACUCAAUACCAGAUUCAGCAAUGAUUAACUUAUGACCAGUCUUGUUGCUUCUAUAUCACCACAUACCUUGUCUUGUAUUAUUUUGAAGCAAAUACUGAGUAUCUGAAAUCUAAAUAUUUCAGUAUGAUCUCUGAAAAAUUAAAGGACCUUUUAAAAGCAUAACAUAAUACUAUUUUUGUUUGUUUGUUUGUUUUUGAGACGGAGUCUCACUCUUUCACCCAGGCCGGACUGCAGUGGCGCUAUCUCAGCUCACUGCAAGCUCCACCUCCCGGGUUCAUGCUAUUCUCCUGCCUCAGCCUCCGGAGUAGCUGGGACUACAGGCACCCGCCACCGCACCCGGCUAAUUUUUUGUAUUUUUAGUAGAGACAGGGUUUCACCAUGUUAGCCAGGAUGGUCUCGAUCUCCUGACCUUGUGACCCGCCCACCUCGGCCUCCCAAAGUGCUGGGACUACAGGCACCCGCCACCGCGCCCGGCCAACAUAAUACUAUUAUCACACCUAAAGUAGUUAAUAUAUUUUCUUACUAUCAUCAGAUAUCCAGAGUUCAAUUUUCUACUUGUCUUUCUUUUUUUAAAGUUUGCUUAACUGGGUCAGGAUCCAGUCAAAUCCACAUGAUAUGUCAAAUCCAUAUGUUCUUUAAGUUUCUUUUAUUCUUUAAAUUUCUCCCUCAUUUUUUUCCUUGCAAUUUAUUUGUUGAAGGAACCAGGUUAUUGGCCCUGUACAAUCUCCCACA